rnacentral:rRNA from 1 species
UACGUAGGGGGCGAGCGUUAUCCGGAAUUACUGGGCGUAAAGCGCACGCAGGCGGUUCGCCAAGGUUGGAGUGACAGUUGUCGGCUCAACCGACAAAGGACUUCAAAAACUGGUGAACUUGAGGACGAGAGAGGAACAUGGAACUCCAGGUGUAGUAGUGAAAUGCGUAGAUAUCUGGAAGAACACCAAAGGCGAAGGCAAUGUUCUGGCUCGUUUCUGACGCUCAGGUGCGAAAGCCAGGGGAGCGAACGGG